rnacentral:rRNA from 1 species
UACGUAGGUGACAAGCGUUGUCCGGAUUUACUGGGCGUAAAGAGCGCGCAGGCGGUCGUUCAAGUCGAGUGUGAAAGCCCCCGGCUCAACUGGGGAGGGUCAUUCGAUACUGAUCGACUUGAAGGCAGGAGAGGGAAGCGGAAUUCCCGGUGUAGUGGUGAAAUGCGUAGAUAUUGGGAGGAACAUCGGUGGCGAAGGCGGCUACCUGGACGGGUACUGACGCUGAGGCGCGAAAGCGUGGGGAGCAAACAGG